AAGACCUUGCGCUUUUGGAGCGGCCGAUGCCUGAUUAGCUUGUUGGUAAGGUAAAGGCUUACCAAGGCUUCGAUCAGUAGCUGGUCUGAGAGGACGGCCAGCCACACUGGGACUGAGACACGGCCCAGACUCCUACGGGAGGCAGCAGUGGGGAAUUUUGGACAAUGGGGGAAACCCUGAUCCAGCCAUGCCGCGUGAGUGAAGAAGACCUUCGGGUUGUAAAGCUCUUUCAGCCGGAACGAAACGGUUACGGAUAAUACCCGUGACUACUGACGGUACCGGAAGAAGAAGCACCGGCUAACUACGUGCCAGCAGCCGCGGUAAUACGUAGGGUGCGAGCGUUAAUCGGAAUUACUGGGCGUAAAGCGUGCGCAGGUGGUUUUGUAAGUCAGAUGUGAAAGCCCCGGGCUCAACCUGGGAACU
rnacentral:rRNA from 1 species